rnacentral:rRNA from 1 species
UUCGCAAUGCCCGAAAGGGUGACAAUGCGACGCCGCGUGUGUGAUGAAGGUCUUCGGAUCGUAAAACACUGUCGGCCGGGAGGAAUCUCUGGAGCCAUAACAUGGCUGCAGGGUGACAGUACCGGCAAAGGAAGCCACGGCUAACUCCGUGCCAGCAGCCGCGGUAAUACGGAGGUGGCAGGCGUUACUCGGAUUGAUUGGGUGUAAAGGGCGUGUAGGCGGUGCGUUAAGUCGAGUGUGAAAUCCCAUGGCUCAACCAUGGAACUGCAUUCGAAACUGACGUGCUUGAGUGUUGGAGAGGAAAGCGGAAUUCCCGGUGUAACAGUGAAAUGUGUAGAUAUCAGGAGGAACGCCGGUGGCGAAAGCGACUCUCUGGCCUGUUACUGACGCUGAGUGCGCGAAAGCUAGGGGAGCAAACGGGAUUAGAUACCCCGGUAGUCCUAGCCCUAAACGAUGGGCACUAAGUAGAGGGGUUUU